AAGGUACAAAUGAUUACAACAUCAUAUAAGUAAGAAGUCUCAUUUAAUAAAUAUUAAGUUUAAAAGAUACAUAUAUAUAUAUUAUCUUUAAAUAAAUAUGUACCAGAUAAAUAUACAUAAAUAUUUUAAUAUCAAAAUUUGUUUUGAACAAUUUUUCUUUUGAUAAAAGCUUUGAAAAGAUAUUGAUAACUUAAUAUUAAAC
rnacentral:lncRNA from 1 species